GUGCUUGCUUCGGCAGCACAUAUACUAAAAUUGGAACAAUACAGAAAAGAUUAGUAUGGCCCCUGCGCAAGGAUGACACACAAAUUCGUGAAGCAUUCUGUAUUUUU
rnacentral:snRNA from 1 species